rnacentral:rRNA from 1 species
GAUGAACGCUGGCGGCGUGCCUAACACAUUCAAGUCGAACGGGUGAAGGGACUUCGGUCCCGGAUCAGUGGCGGACGGGUGAGUAACGCGUGAGCAACCUGCCUUGCUUGGGGGAUAACAACUGGAAACGGUUGCUAAUACCGCACUAAUGUAGCGACUUUGCAUGGAGAUGCUACCAAAGAUCUAUUGAGCAAAGAUGGGCUCGCGUCCGAUUAGAUAGUUGGUGAGGUAACGGCUCACCAAGUCGACGAUCAGUAGCCGGACUGAGAGGUUGAACGGCCACAUUGGAACUGAGAUACGGUCCAGACUCCUACGGGAGGCAGCAGUGGGGAAUAUUGGGCAAUGGGCGAAAGCCUGACCCAGCGACGCCGCGUGAAGGAAGACGGUUUUCGGAUUGUAAACCUCUGUCUUU